rnacentral:rRNA from 1 species
GGGGAAGGUAGCUUGCUACUGGACCUAGCGGCGGACGGGUGAGUAAUGCUUAGGAAUCUGCCUAUUAGUGGGGGACAACAUCUCGAAAGGGAUGCUAAUACCGCAUACCUCCUACGGGAGAAAGCAGGGAUCUUGGACCUUGGCUAAAGAUGAGCCUAGUCGGAUUAGCUAGUUGGUGGGUAAAGCCUACCAAGGCGACGAUCUGUAGCGGUCUGANAGGAUGAUCCGCCACACUGGGACUGAGACCCGGCCCAGAUUCCUACGGGAGGCAGCAGUGGGGAAUAUUGGACAAUGGGGGGAACCCUGAUCCAGCCAUGCCGCGUGUGUGAAGAAGGCCUUAUGGUUGUAAAGCACUUUAAGCGAGGAGGAGGCUACUUUAGUUAAUACCUAGAGAUAGUGGACGUUACUCGCAGAAUAAGCACCGGCUAACUCUGUGCCAGCAGCCGCGGUAAUACAGAGGGUGCGAGCGUUAAUCGGAUUUACUGGGCGUAAAGCGUGCGUAGGCGGCUUAUUAAGUCGGAUGUGAAAUCCCCGAGCUAAACUUGGGAAUUGCAUUCGAUACUGGUGAGCUAGAGUAUGGGAGAGGAUGGUAGAAUUCCAGGUGUAGCGGUGAAAUGCGUAGAGAUCUGGAGGAAUACCGAUGGCGAAGGCAGCCAUCUGGCCUAAUACUGACGCUGAGGUACGAAAGCAUGGGGAGCAAACAGGAUUAGAUACCCUGGUAGUCCAUGCCGUAAACGAUGUCUACUAGCCGUUGGGGCCUUUGAGGCUUUAGUGGCGCAGCUAACGCGAUAAGUAGACCGCCUGGGGAGUACGGUCGCAAGACUAAAACUCAAAUGAAUUGACGGGGGCCCGCACAAGCGGUGGAGCAUGUGGUUUAAUUCGAUGCAACGCGAAGAACCUUACCUGGCCUUGACAUACUAGAAACUUUCCAGAGAUGGAUUGGUGCCUUCGGGAAUCUAGAUACAGGUGCUGCAUGGCUGUCGUCAGCUCGUGUCGUGAGAUGUUGGGUUAAGUCCCGCAACGAGCGCAACCCUUUUCCUUACUUGCCAGCAUUUCGGAUGGGAACUUUAAGGAUACUGCCAGUGACAAACUGGAGGAAGGCGGGGACGACGUCAAGUCAUCAUGGUCCUUACGGCCAGGGCUACACACGUGCUACAAUGGUCGGUACAAAGGGUUGCUACACAGCGAUGUGAUGCUAAUCUCAAAAAGCCGAUCGUAGUCCGGAUUGGAGUCUGCAACUCGACUCCAUGAAGUCGGAAUCGCUAGUAAUCGCGGAUCAGAAUGCCGCGGUGAAUACGUUCCCGGGCCUUGUACACACCGCCCGUCACACCAUGGGAGUUUGUUGCACCAGAAGUAGCUAGCCUAACUGCAAA